AGCGAACGCUGGCGGCAGGCCUAACACAUGCAAGUCGAACGGGAUUAAGAGGCUUGCUUCUUAUGAGAGUGGCGCACGGGUGCGUAACACGUAUGCAACCUACCUUCAACUGGGGGAUAGCCUUCCGAAAGGGAGAUUAUUACCGCAUAAUCUAAUUGAGUGGCAUCACUUGAUUAUCAAACGUCAGGGUUGAAGAUUGGCAUGCGUCCGAUUAGUUUGUUGGUGUGGUAACGGCGCACCAAGACUACGAUCGGUAGGGGGUCUGAGCGGAUGGCCCUCCACACUGGGAAUGAGGCCCGGACCAGGCUCCUACGGGUGGCAGCCGUAAGGAAUAUUGGUCAAUGGACGGAAGUCUGAACCAUCCAGGCCGCGUGCAGGAAGACGGUCCUCUGGAUUGUAAACUGCUUUUGUGAGGUAAGAAACUUCCGUACGGGUACGGGACUGACGGUACCUAAAGAAUAAGGAUCGGCUAACUCCGUGCCAGCCGCCGCAGUAAAAC
rnacentral:rRNA from 1 species